AGAGUUUGAUCCUGGCUCAGGACGAACGCUGGCGGCGUGCCUAACACAUGCAAGUCGAACGGAGAAUUUUAUUUCGGUAGAAUUCUUAGUGGCGAACGGGUGAGUAACGCGUAGGCAACCUGCCCUUUAGACGGGGACAACAUUCCGAAAGGAGUGCUAAUACCGGAUGUGAUCAUCUUGCCGCAUGGCAGGAUGAAGAAAGAUGGCCUCUACAAGUAAGCUAUCGCUAAAGGAUGGGCCUGCGUCUGAUUAGCUAGUUGGUAGUGUAACGGACUACCAAGGCGAUGAUCAGUAGCCGGUCUGAGAGGAUGAACGGCCACAUUGGGACUGAGACACGGCCCAAACUCCUACGGGAGGCAGCAGUGGGGAAUCUUCCGCAAUGGACGAAAGUCUGACGGAGCAACGCCGCGUGAGUGAUGAAGGAUUUCGGUCUGUAAAGCUCUGUUGUUUAUGACGAACGUGCAGUGUGUGAACAAUGCAUUGCAAUGACGGUAGUAAACGAGGAAGCCACGGCUAACUACGUGCCAGCAGCCGCGGUAAUACGUAGGUGGCGAGCGUUGUCCGGAAUUAUUGGGCGUAAAGAGCAUGUAGGCGGCUUAAUAAGUCGAGCGUGAAAAUGCGGGGCUCAACCCCGUAUGGCGCUGGAAACUGUUAGGCUUGAGUGCAGGAGAGGAAAGGGGAAUUCCCAGUGUAGCGGUGAAAUGCGUAGAUAUUGGGAGGAACACCAGUGGCGAAGGCGCCUUUCUGGACUGUGUCUGACGCUGAGAUGCGAAAGCCAGGGUAGCGAACGGGAUUAGAUACCCCGGUAGUCCUGGCCGUAAACGAUGGGUACUAGGUGUAGGAGGUAUCGACCCCUUCUGUGCCGGAGUUAACGCAAUAAGUACCCCGCCUGGGGAGUACGGCCGCAAGGUUGAAACUCAAAGGAAUUGACGGGGGCCCGCACAAGCAGUGGAUUAUGUGGUUUAAUUCGAAGCAACGCGAAGAACCUUACCAGGGCUUGACAUCCUACUAACGAAGUAGAGAUACAUUAGGUGCCCUUCGGGGAAAGUAGAGACAGGUGGUGCAUGGUUGUCGUCAGCUCGUGUCGUGAGAUGUUGGGUUAAGU
rnacentral:rRNA from 1 species